GACGAACGCUGGCGGCGUGCUUAACACAUGCAAGUCGAACGGAAAGGCCCUGCUUUUGUGGGGUGCUCGAGUGGCGAACGGGUGAGUAACACGUGAGUAACCUGCCCUUGACUUUGGGAUAACUUCAGGAAACUGGGGCUAAUACCGGAUAGGAGCUCCUGCUGCAUGGUGGGGGUUGGAAAGUUUCGGCGGUUGAGGAUGGACUCGCGGCUUAUCAGCUUGUUGGUGGGGUAGUGGCUUACCAAGGCUUUGACGGGUAGCCGGCCUGAGAGGGUGACCGGCCACAUUGGGACUGAGAUACGGCCCAGACUCCUACGGGAGGCAGCAGUGGGGAAUGUUGCACAAUGGGCGGAAGCCUGAUGCAGCAACGCCGCGUGCGGGAUGACGGCCUUCGGGUUGUAAACCGCUUUCGCCUGUGACGAAGCGUGAGUGACGGUAAUGGGUAAAGAAGCACCGGCUAACUACGUG
rnacentral:rRNA from 1 species